GAAUGCAGAUGUAGCCGUCGAUUUUU
rnacentral:sRNA from 1 species